rnacentral:lncRNA from 1 species
CAGAAAGUUGUGAGUUACAAUGUGUCGAAAUACCAGAUGUUUUUUUUUUUAAUUUUCGGAAACACUGAAAAGUGAUGCACCUUGUCUCGGUUGUAGAGAAUUGCUGAAAAUAUGGCAAAACUAGAAGGUGGAGGGGGAAUUCCUGGUCCUCGGAAUCACUCUAUCCUAAGAGAACUACAAGCAGCAUUGCAAAGGGAACAGUCACUGAGGAAGAGAGUGGCAGCUUUACGUGAGUCGCUGGACUCGGCGCUCACAGACAGCACUACUCAGAGAAGGAUCAACAGAGAGGAGAUUGCGCGUCUCUCCCACUACUACAUUAAAGUUUCAAGCACCUACAGAAGUUCUCGAAAGAAGCACCAGGAGCAGCUGUGGUGACUGGAGAAGCAAAUCGCAGUAAUGGGUGAACGACAUGCUAAAGAAGAGGCCGAGCUAAGUACUACACUAGAAGCUAUGGAGUGGAGGAGAGAGGAGACAAUACUCUAGACAGUGCAGUUCUUCUUGGUAUCAUUUUAUUGACAAACAUUUAUGAAAGCUAAUGAUGAACAUUGAUUUUGAGUGAGGUUGGGCAGAAACACUGAGCAUAUAGAUCAUUGACCUACAAAACUAAAAUUGCAGCACCAGGAUGCACCAUUUGUCAAUAAGGUAAUUGCUUUGCUGGCUCCUAUUGGUGUAGAUGCAGCAUCACUCAAAAGUUUGGUUACCUACCUGAUUGUAGGAAUACUCUUCAAAGGCAUAUUUUUCUCCCAUGUGAAAAAGUUUAACUGAACAUUUAUUAGCCAUUUUGACAGUUUGCUGGAAUGUACAUCAUGUAAGUAGACAAGUAGCCAAGUGCAAAGACUGCAAGUAUACCUAUUGGGAAAGACCAGCUAUUCUAGGCCUUGAUAUUACUAAUAUAUCUCUAUAUCAUCAUGUCAGUGUACAUCAUUUUACAAAUAUUUGCUUGUAAGUAUUAUUCCUUUCUAUUUGUACAGAAACAUGUAUGUGAAAAAUUGCAUGCGAAUUUUGUGUAUCAUUUUAAAAGUUAUGUUUUUUUUUGCAUAAUGAAUAAAACAGUUACAGUUUUGAUGUAGUUUAAAAACUACUGUGACCUGGUAGUUUGCUGUAUGAAAGCAGGCAGCAACAAC